rnacentral:sRNA from 1 species
AUGCUUGAUGCAGGGGUCAUUAGAAGAUCAAAAAGUAGUUGGAGUGCGCCUAUAGUUGUUGUUAAGAAAAAGGAUGAUACUCAUAGGUUUUGCACGGACUUUAGGCAAAUUAACAAAAUUACAAAAAGUCUUUCAUAUCCCUUGCCUUUAAUUGAUGAUAUACUUGCCCAAUUAGGCAACGCUAAGUACAUUUCCUCCUGUGAUUUAAAAAGUGGCUUCUGGCAAGUUUUGAUGGACGAAAAAGACAGAGAAAAGACUGCUUUUGCGUGUCAUAGAGGUCUCUUCGAAUAUAACGUAAUGCCAUUUGGGUUACAAAACUCUCCUGCUGUAUUUUCCCAAUUGAUGGAAAUUGUUCUAGGAAAAUCUACCAUUUGCCAUUGCUUAUAUUGACGAUGUUUUAAUAUAUUCUGAAACUUUAGAGGACCAUCUUUCCCAUAUUCAACAAGUUUUUGAUAGGUUAAGAAAACAUGGAUUAAAGUUAAAAUUGAAAAAAUGUCAAUUUCUCCGAAAAGAAACCAAUUACUUAGGAUUCCAAAUAACCGGAAACGGUAUCAAACCGGAAACGGAUAAAGUAGCUACAAUCAGAUCUUUACCACCUCCAGUUAGUGUGAAAGAAGUUAGAAGCUUCAUAGGGAUGUUAAGUUAUUAUAGGCGUUUCAUACCAAACUUCUCAAAAAUUUCUGUACCUUUGGUUGAUCUGACUAAGAAAUAUGCAAAAUUUAGAUGGUCUGAUGAGUGUCAAACAGCAUUUGAUUUCUUAAAAGAAAGUCUAUCAGUCAUUCCUUUGCUCGCAUAUCCGGACUUAUCAAAGCCGUAUAUCUUAUAUACCGACGCAUCGGACGAAUCGAUAGGCGCGUGUCUAACCCAACCAUGUGAUGAGAGUGAAGAAGUAUUAUAUGGAGUUAAAAACGAGAAACCGAUUUAUUUCUUAUCCCAUAAAUUAAGUGAUACUCAAAAGCGCUGGUCCACUAUUGAAAAGGAAGCGUAUAGCAUUCAUUAUGCACUUCAGAAAUUAGAUCAUUACUUGCAUAAUGCGAACUUUACUAUUAAAACAGAUCAUAAACCAUUGCAGUAUCUUUUAUCCUCAAAUUUCUCUAAUCGUAAAAUUCAAUUAUGGGCAUUAUGUAUUUCUAGUUAUAAUUGUAAGAUAGAAUGGCUAUCUGGGGCAGAGAACACAAUCGCAGAUUAUUUAUCUAGAAGGCCUAAAAAUAAAAUAGACGACCCACAAACAUUAGAAGAAAUCAAUGAAAAUGAUAACAUCGAGACGGACAUAAGUAAUAAGGCCUAUGAGAUAAGUACGUUAAAUUCAAAUGAGUUCAACCCAAAAGAAUUUUCAAGUUGUCAACAUAAUGAUGACGACAAUGUUAAAGUAGAAGAUUUAAAAAUUAAGGGAUAUGAUAUUAAAUAUGAACAGUCGCUAGAUACAGAACUAAGUUUAAUUGCCAUUCAGUUGCAAAACGGCAAGGCUACUAAGUCAGUAGAAAGUAAAUACAUACUAAUGGAUGACAUACUCUAUUUUAUAUCUAAAGCAGAUAGCGAACCUGUGUUAAGGUUGUAUGUCCCAUUGCAGUUAAGAGAAGAAGUAGUCAAGCAAUAUCAUGACGUCGAUCAUUUAGGUGUAGAUAAAACAUAUGAUGCUAUUAAGAUCAAAUAUUUUUGGCCUAAUCUGUAUAAGGAAUUACAUGAAUAUGUUAAUUCAUGUAUAACAUGUCAACAACGCAGCUCAUAUAAUGCUAAACCAUUAUUGCAAGAAACAGAUAUACCACCGUUUCCGUUCGCGAAAGUUGCCGUGGAUUUAUCUGGACCGUAUCCAACGUCUCUUUCCGGUAAUAAGUAUAUCAUAAGUUUUGUUGAUGUUUACAGUGGUUACCCAGAAUGCUUUCCUGUUCCUGAUAAAAGCGCCGCUAAUAUUGUUCAACUUUUGCUUGAUGAAAUUAUUCCGAGACAUAGUUGUCCAUUGACUCUGUUGAGUGACAAUGGUUCCGAAAACUGUAACAAUAUGGUAAGAGAAACAUUAAAAGAGAUGAAAAUAAACCACGUUACAACUUCAUUUUAUUCCCCUGGUUCGAAUGGCAAAGUAGAACGUUUACAUCGUUUCAUGCACGAUAUUCUUGCUAAAAAAAUAAAAGAUGAUCCAUCAACAUGGGAUGUUUACCUAAACCAAACUUUAGCUGCAAUAAGGUGUAGUAAAAAUGAAUCUACUAAAUUCUCGCCGUUUUACCUUCUUUAUAACAGAGAUCCUGUUCUUCCGGUAGAUAAUCUACUUAAACCAAGACGUAAAUAUGCGGGAGAAAGUCCGCAUCAAAUUUUAUUAGAACAACAGCACAAGUCGUUUGUUACUGUGCAUAGGAAUUUGAAGAAAGCUAAAAGUAAACAAAAAGAAUAUGCAGAUGAAAAUAGGCAAGAAAUAAACUUUAAGGUAGGAGAUGCGGUGUACUUUAAAAAUCAUCUCCGUAAAAGUAAACUAGACAGUAAGUGGAAGCCGUUUUAUAGAAUAUUGAACAACGAUCACCUGUCAGUUUUAUAGUUAAAAAUCAAUUAACGGGUUCGACAACUAAAGUACAUGCACAGCAUCUUAAACCUACACCCGUUGAAACGUGGGAUAUUCCAAAAUCAAAAGAAAAUAAAAAGUUAAGGAAAAGCCGAUUCGUUGUCCCACCGGAAUCUAGUGAAAACGAAAGCGAAAUGGAGGUUGACCAUCGAGGAGAAUGA